AAAAAUCCGUUGGAUUUAUUUACCGUGAGGGUUCAAG
rnacentral:tRNA from 1 species